CGGCGGACGGGUGAGUAACACGUGGAUAACCUACCUAUAAGACUGGGAUAACUUCGGGAAACCGGAGCUAAUACCGGAUAAUAUAUUGAACCGCAUGGUUCAAUAGUGAAAGACGGUUUUGCUGUCACUUAUAGAUGGAUCCGCGCCGCAUUAGCUAGUUGGUAAGGUAACGGCUUACCAAGGCAACGAUGCGUAGCCGAACUGAGAGGGUGAUCGGCCACACUGGAACUGAGACACGGUCCAGACUCCUACGGGAGGCAGCAGGG
rnacentral:rRNA from 1 species